AGCGAGUGGGAAAGAGCCAGCCCCACGCCGGUCCGCCUCCUGCUGCCGGGCCUCCCUCCCGCCUGCCCGCCGCCUGGCUCGGAGAUUCUUCGCCCAGAGUUCUCCAUUCCCAGGAUCCCGGGCUCGCGGGGGUGCGGAGAAGAGGACCCAGGAAAGGUCCAGACUCUGGGAUCCAGUUUAGAGCAACUCAGAGAGAAGGCCAAACCCUUUUCUGUCACACCAUCUCUGGUCAAGGUGCUGGUCUGGCCUUCCCUACUGCCAAGGAGAAAUACCUAGGACACAGGAAGACUUUAAGGCCCAGACUUCAGCUUACCCGAGGCUACUGGUCCAGACCACCAUCAACUGAGCAUCAGGCCCUGGGUGUCCAUGGGGUUCGCCCCGAGGUUCCACAGAGCAGCAAGAAGACACACAACUGGAGCUUUCUUCCCCCUGUAUUAUUUUCUUCGCUGCACACCUACAAUUUAUUCAAUAUCCAACUCUGCACAGCGCUGUAGGGGCGAGUUCUGCUAACCAGAAAUCCCCUACAGAAGAUCACAGCUUUGUUCAUUUUUGCGUUCAGCUCGUCAAUUGAUUUGAUAAUUGCCUGGGAGACAUAUACAGGCAUACAGACACACAAAACAAAUGUCGGGCCACAGGCUUUUCCCUCGACAGUGGGAUGAAGAUGUUUUACUUACUGGAACUCAGAUGUCACCUGGAAGAAUAAGAGGAGGUACUGGGGAAAAAGAGAGAAAGGAAUGGAGACGGCAUGGUGUGGGAGGCAGGUGGUCCCCCUUGGUUACCAAGUGUGAUGACUCUCUGAAUAUGACAAUAAAUCACGGCAGGAAUCAAUCUGUCGGGAGGCUACUGCUCCAUGCUGAUAAUGCAUCAAUCAAUAUUUAAUGUUUACACUUUAAUUAAUCCACACACGGGAAGCAUUCUUUCAGUGACAAAAAUAAAGGGAUGAGAAAUAAAACACCUUUUAUAUCAAGGA